CCAACCGCCGCCGCGUCACGUUCAUUUUCAAAAUUUCGAACUUUGACAUUUUUUUUUAAAUUUCUGAAUGACCAUUACGUAAGUGUUUGUGUUAGUGGAACUAGCGUGUUGUGUAGUGCUUUGAUUGGAAAUGUGACUAGAUUGCUUUAAUUGUAUCUUGUUUGUGUCUGAAAUCUGUAUGGUGUUUUAUGAAGAUAAGUUUCGUCUACCUUCCGGCGAUGCGGUUUCAUUUUGGUGACGUAAGCUGAGAUGAAGGAAAGGAUACUAGAUACAUCACAAACACAACUUGAACCUAUAAAGCAAGCAGUAUUAAGAAGGU